UACGUAGGGUGCAAGCGUUAAUCGGAAUUACUGGGCGUAAAGCGUGCGCAGGCGGUUUUGUAAGUUUGUCGUGAAAUCCCCGGGCUCAACCUGGGAAUGGCGAUGAAGACUGCAAGGCUAGAAUCUGGCAGAGGGGGGUAGAAUUCCACGUGUGAGCAGUGAAAUGCGUAGAGAUGUGGAGGAAUACCGAUGGCGAAGGCAGCCCCCUGGGCCAAUACUGACGCUCAUGCACGAAAGCGUGGGGAGCAAACAGG
rnacentral:rRNA from 1 species